ACUGGUGGUAUCGGGAGCCGUCCAUGCUAGUCGGCCGGUCUCGUGGGCGAAUAGUGUGGCCACACUUUCGUCGCACUGUGGAAAGAUGAUGUGAUUGUUGGAUUGUUGAGAAAGUGGGGGAGAUUGUUUGCCUAGCCAGGCUGUGAAACUGUUUUUGUGAUACUCGAUGAUAUUUCUUUCUAAAUGUAAAUCUCGAGUUCACUGUGGUAUGGAUGGCAUAACUUUUAUAAAAUGUUUUCGACAUGAGUCCACUGAGUGCAUUAAGUACUCAGCCCUGCAUUUCUUUUAAAAAUGUGCAGGUUGAGUGGGAUGUUGCGACGGAUGUUGAGUCGAGCCUUAAGGAAUUCGGAGGUGUCGUGUCUUCAUACAUGGGCGUCGUCCUAUGACUCUCCCUAGAUACUUGUUUUCCGCUGCCUUUUCUUGAAUCGUUUUGAUAAAGUCUUUCGUUUUACUCUACACUAUUUUUACGAUACCAAUUACCUUGAGACAUUAAUCCGCUGCCUAACUUUUUGAUAAACUAAAAUAUUUCUUUUGGAAGUUAUUGAGUUUUGUUCAAUGUCGUCUUUUAUUGUUUCCCCAUAGUCACAAUUUUCCCGUCUUCGCUAUCCUUAGUAAUGGCGGUCGUGACAAUUGUCAAAUCUAAAUCCUCUUGGAUUUAAACAUUGAAUUACAUUAGAAUACUUACUUUGACUAAUAAAAGUCCCAUUUAAUUAUUUACUGAAUAUUAUAUUGACAUGACUAACAUUUUCCUUUCUUAUGUGGCUUAAGGAAUUUUUAAAUCCCAAAUUUAUUUAGGGCGGUGGCCCAAGGAAGAUUUAAUUUAAAUGGUCCAACAAUUUAGAAGCAAGGCCCAGAUUUAAUACAGCGGCCCAAUCCCUUUAUCUCUCUUUUUUUUGAAAAGGAGGCCCAAAAGGAUUUAAUUGACAUGGCCCGAACUUUAUUUUUCUUAUGAGAGGCCCAAUUCAGGGAGGUCCAAAUCAAGUAUACUCCCUUCCACCACCGUCGGCCUACCCUUCUCACUCCCCCAUUUCGAAUUUUCCUAACCCUAAUCGAAGAAAUCGGCGCUCCUUCCUCUCUUGUCGACACCGUAGGGUGGCUCAAUCGCCACCGCCCUUCCGCCAUGGUCUCCGAAACACUGCCUCUCUCUACCUCCCUCCGGUUUCUCCCCUCUCGUCCAAACGAUUUAAGUCCUAAACUGAGGGGACUCGAACCCUAGAUCGCCUAUCUCCCCCUCUCUUCUCUCGUCGGCACCUUGCCGCCGUGCCCCUCGCCGUCGUCGCCGUCUCCCUUACCUUCACCUUAAAGCGGCAGUCCCCCAAGAGAGAAGCCUUGAGUUCGAGGGAUUCGGCGUCUUCCUGUCCAUCGUCGUCUCCGCCUUCGCCCGAACAGCUCCGUCGGCGUCAUGGAGUCGCCGGCGGCUAGUUCCUCUGCCUCUGUUCAGCUCCGUCCCUCUUUCGGCCGAGCUCGCCAUUCUCGGCAGGGGUUGUUGUUUUGGAAUGGUAGAAUGCCUCGUUUGCUCUAUCGACGGCACUAGGGGGCGGGGUUGCUCCCCUCUAAGUCAGAGCUGCCGAGAAUCUGUCCUCAACGAGUCCAUACCCCUGAGCUAAGUUAUAUAAUUGGUGCCUCCUAUAGUUUACUUAUGAUGUGGGUUUGAAGUUCUUGAGUAGUUUAUCUAAUCCUGUCCAUGAUGUUCAAAACGAGAGAGAGUGUAUUUGUGUGUUUAUUUAUUUUCCUCUCGUCGUGUUAUCGUGCUGCUAUGUGGAUAGUUAAAUUUUUCCCUACAAUCUGGGUAUGCUAUAUGCUAUCUAGAGGCCUAACAUACUGUGCUUAAUUUCUUUUC